rnacentral:rRNA from 1 species
AAUCAACGCUGGCGGCGUGCCUCAGACAUGCAAGUCGAACGCGAAAGUUUCCUUCGGGAAGCAAGUAGAGUGGCGUCCGGGUGAGUAACACGUAGGUAAUCUACCUUUGGGUGGGGAAUAACCCCGAGAAAUCGGGGCUAAUACCGCAUAAUGCAGCGGCACCACAUGGUGACAGUUGUUAAAGCGGGGGAUCGCAAGACCUCGCGCCUAAAGAGGAGCCUGCGGCGGAUUAGCUAGNGGUAGGGUAACGGCCUACCAAGGCAACGAUCCGUAGCCGGCCUGAGAGGGCGGUCGGCCACACUGACACUGAAAUACGGGUCAGACUCCUACGGGNGGCAGCAGUCGGGAAUGUUGGGCAAUGGGCGAAAGCCUGACCCAGCAACGCCGCGUGAAGGA